ACCUCGCUGUAGCUAAGAUCAGUCCACUGCAGCAGGAGUUUCAAGAACAGCAGCACAAAAAUGAUGACUUAACUGGAUAGGAAAAAAGGCACAUAUUUUCAGGAAGGCCUCUUUAUUCUUAGAAGUUACCCUUCAAGAUGACAAGUGGUGCAAACUCUCCAGGAUCUUACCUGCCCUCAAAAAUAAGAAGUUCUAAAAUAGAUGACAACUACUUGAAGGAAUUAAAUGAGGACUUAAUGCUAAGGAAGCAGGAACUGCUAGAGAUGCUCAAACCUCUAGAAGAUAAAAACAACCUCUUAUUCCAGAAGUUAAUGUCUAACUUGGAGGAAAAACAAAGGAGUCUUCAGAUCAUGAGGCAGAUCAUGGCAGGGAAGGGGUGUGAGGAAUCCUCGGUCAUGGAGCUCCUUAAGGAAGCAGAGGAGAUGAAACAGAACCUGGAAAGGAAAAACAAGACGCUUCAGAAGGAAAUGGAGAUGCUAUGGAACAAGACAUUCGAGGCAGAAGAACUCAGUGAUCAACAAAAAGCACCACAGAUAAAAAACAAGGCAGACUUGCAGGAUGGAAAGGCUCCCAAAUCCCCCUCAUCACCUAGGAAGACUGAGAGUGAACUGGAGAAAUCAUUUGCAGAGAAAGUGAAGGAUAUAAGGAAGGAAAAGCAACAGAGGAAAAUGGAAUGGGUCAAGUAUCAGGAACAAAACAACAUCCUUCAGAAUGAUUUUCAUGGCAAAGUGAUUCAGCUGAGAAUUGAAGCCUUGAAGAACUACCAGAAGGCCAAUGACCUGAAAUUAUCACUGUAUUUGCAGCAGAAUUUUGAGCCAAUACAAGCAUUUUUAAAUCUUCCUGGGUCCCAAGGUUUGUCUGAGCACAAGUGGAUUUGAAACCUAAUGGAGUCCUAUAUUUUGGUUAUGUGGCCUAUUUUUUUCACCUCUAGUAUUUGAUUAUUGAAAAGAAGACAAAUAUUCUCUUCAUAAAGGAUUUUAAAAGUAAUUAUGUAAAGAAGUUAAUACCAACAGUAAUAAUUUCUUAAUGCAUUUCCUUGAGGUCUUCUGAGAAAAACCUGAAGGUACUAUGGGCACUACAACUAUGGACAGAGUGACUACUGGCAGAAAUGAACACCAG